ensembl:lncRNA BCAR4 breast cancer anti-estrogen resistance 4
AUGUACCAACCUAUCCAAACUUAUCCAUGGAUGAAUCUAUCCAGAAGACGGGAGUUCCGAUGCUUGUCUUGCUCUGAAUGUCUGCUUGUCACCUGCUUAGGGUUAUCGACUGUGAUUCUGGGACUCAUUGUUGUUCUACAGGACCCCUCUGACUCUGUGGUUUUCUCUACUGGAUUAACAAUGAUAGCCAUAGGUGCUUUUUUUGUUGUCCUCACUGGAGUGACAGCCCUGUGUACGGUUACAGUCGACGAGAACUUGCAGAAAACCACGAGGCUAAGACUAGGAGUGAUACGAAAAAGCGGAAGUCUCCAAGGAACUACAGAGCCUUCCAUGACUCACUCAAUAAUCGCUAGCACCUCGCUGUAG